rnacentral:rRNA from 1 species
CCUACGGGCUGCACCAGUGGGGAAUAUUGCACAAUGGGCGCAAGCCUGAUGCAGCCAUGCCGCGUGUAUGAAGAAGGCCUUCGGGUUGUAGAGUACUUUCAGCGGGGAGGAAGGGAGUAAGGUUAAUAACCUUAUUCAUUGCCGUUACCCGCAGAAGAAGCACCGGCUAACUCCGUGCCAGCAGCCGCGGUAAUACGGAGGGUGCAAGCGUUAAUCGGAAUUACUGGGCGUAAAGCGCACGCAGGCGGUCUGUCCAGUCGGAUGUGAAAUCCCCGGGCUCAACCUGGGAACUGCAUUCGAAACUGGCAGGCUGGAGUCUUGUAGAGGGGGGUAGAAUUCCAGGUGUAGCGGUGAAAUGCGUAGAGAUCUGGAGGAAUACCGGUGGCGAAGGCGGCCCCCUGGACAAAGACUGACGCUCAGGUGCGAAAGCGUGGGGAGCAAACAGGAUUAGAUACCCCCGUAGUC